UACGUAGGGGGCGAGCGUUGUCCGGAUUUAUUGGGCGUAAAGAGCGUGUAGGCGGCUUUACAGGUCCGUUGUGAAAACUCGAGGCUCAACCUCGAGACGCCGGUGGAAACCGUAAGGCUAGAGUCCGGAAGAGGAGAGUGGAAUUCCUGGUGUAGCGAUGAAAUGCGCAGAUAUCAGGAGGAACACCCGUGGCGAAAGCGGCUCUCUGGGACGGUACUGACGCUGAGACGCGAAAGCGUGGGGAGCAAACAGG
rnacentral:rRNA from 1 species